CUGUUGUUCUUGACUCUAGUCCAGGUGAAGAGACCUGAGAAUUGUAUAAUAAGUGGGAGUUCCCUGGUGCUCCAGUCCCCAUGUGGGGACAUGGCAGGAUCUUCCAUUCCUGCUGGCCAAAAUACCACUAUUCUUAGCCUUUUUGUACUGAUAGGAGAUGGGGUGGGGGCAUGUUAAGUUGGGAAGGGCUCUGGCUUUUGGCACCAUAUGCUUGCUGCACCCCACUCCAGUAUCAAUGCCAGGUGGGGAGUUUGACUGAGGCAGUACACCUGUUAGACAGUAAUGCAGGUGUCCUAAGAUGAGCUCAGGAGGACAGAAACCUCCCACAGAGCAGGACAAAAGAUGGAUUGAUUUUGACUUUCAGUAGAGUACAGAAUGUAAAAUGGGGGCCUCAUGAUCUUUCUGACCUUUUAUGUUUUAAGCAGGAGAUGUCAGAAUAGUUACCACAG
rnacentral:ncRNA from 1 species